rnacentral:rRNA from 1 species
UACGUAGGGUGCGAGCGUUGUCCGGAAUUAUUGGGCGUAAAGAGCGUGUAGGCGGCCAGAUAAGUCCGCUGUGAAAACUCGAGGCUCAACCUCGAGCUGUCGGUGGAAACUGUCUGGCUAGAGUCCGGAAGAGGAGAGUGGAAUUCCUGGUGUAGCGGUGAAAUGCGCAGAUAUCAGGAAGAACACCUAUGGCGAAGGCAGCUCUCUGGGACGGUACUGACGCUGAGACGCGAAAGCGUGGGGAGCGAACAGG